CCUACGGGAGGCAGCAGUGAGGAAUAUUGGUCAAUGGCCGAAAGGCUGAACCAGCAACGCCGCGUGGAGGACGAAGCCCUUCGGGGUGUAAACUCCUUUCGGGAGGGACGAAACUCCGGAUCUCGAAUAGAGGUCGGGACUGACGGUACCUCCGGAAGAAGCCCCGGCCAACUCCGUGCCAGCAGCCGCGGUAAUAAGGAGGGUGCAAGCGUUGCUCGGAAUCACUGGGUGUAAAGCGCGAGUAGGCGGUUAAUUAAGUAAGAGGUGAAAGCCCACGGCUCAACCGGGGAAGGGCAUCUGAAACUGGUUAGCUAGAGUGUGAGAGAGGGAUGCGGAAUUCCCGGUGUAGCGGUAAAAUGCGUAGAUAUCGGGAGGACCACCAGUGGCGAAGGCGGCAUCCUGGCUCAUAACUGACGCUGAGUCGCGAAAGCGUGGGGAUCAAACAGGAUUAGAUACCCCUGUAGU
rnacentral:rRNA from 1 species